rnacentral:sRNA from 1 species
AUUCGGUGUUUGCGUACUUCUGGCGCUACAGUAACCCGGAAAAUUUAAAAUUUUUG